rnacentral:rRNA from 2 species
CUGGGCUACACACGUGCUACAAUGGUCGGUACAGAGGGUUGCCAAGCCGCGAGGUGGAGCUAAUCUCACAAAACCGAUCGUAGUCCGGAUCGCAGUCUGCAACUCGACUGCGUGAAGUCGGAAUCGCUAGUAAUCGCGAAUCAGAAUGUCGCGGUGAAUACGUUCCCGGGCCUUGUACACACCGCCCGUCACACCAUGGGAGUGGGUUGCACCAGAAGUAGCUAGUCUAACCUUCGGGGGGACGGUUACCACGGUGUGAUUCAUGACUGGGGUGAAGUCGUAACAAGGUAGCCGUAGGGGAACCUGUGGCUGGAUCACCUCCUUUCUA